AAAGCUCAGUUGGUAGAGCAUGAGACUCUGAAUCUCAGGGUCAGGGAUUCAAGCACCAUGUGGGAUG